UACAGAGGUGGCAAGCGUUGUUCGGAAUUACUGGGCGUAAAGGGUGCGUAGGUGGUUCGGCAAGUCUUGUGUGAAAUCUUCAGGCUCAACUUGAAGUCUGCACAAGAAACUGCCGGGCUUGAGUAUGGGAGAGGUGAGUGGAAUUUCCGGUGUAGCGGUGAAAUGCGUAGAUAUCGGAAGGAACACCUGUGGCGAAGGCGACUUCCUGGCCUGUUCUUGACGCUGAGGCGCGAAAGCUAGGGGAGCAAACGGGG
rnacentral:rRNA from 1 species